CAGCCGCCGCGGUAAUACGUAGGGUGCAAGCGUUAAUCGGAAUUACUGGGCGUAAAGCGUGCGCAGGCGGUUAUAUAAGUCAGAUGUGAAAUCCCCGGGCUCAACCUGGGAACUGCAUUUGAGACUGUAUGGCUAGAGUGUGUCAGAGGGGGGUAGAACUCCACGUGUAGCAGUGAAAUGCGUAGAUAUGUGGAGGAAUACCGAUGGCGAAGGCAGCCCCCUGGGAUAACACUGACGCUCAUGCACGAAAGCGUGGGGAGCAAACGGGAUUAGAGACCCGCGUAGUCCCUGUCUCUUAUAC
rnacentral:rRNA from 1 species